GUGGAUUAGAUACCCGAGUAGUCCUAGCUGUAAACGAUGUACAUUAGGCGUGGGGAGUUUUCCCCGUGCCGGAGCCAACGCGUUAAAUGUACCGCCUGGGGACUACGGCCGCAAGGUUGAAACUCAAAGGAAUUGACGGGGACCCGCACAAGCGGUGGAGGAUGUGGUUCAAUUCGAUGCUACGCGAAGAACCUUACCUGGGCUUGACAUGCAGGUGGUAGCAACCCGAAAGGGAAGCGACCGGGGUUUAUCCCUGGAGCCUGCACAGGUGCUGCACGGCUGUCGACAACU
rnacentral:rRNA from 1 species